rnacentral:sRNA from 1 species
UUGACAGGCUGGGAGCUGAAGGCUGAUCCUCAUUUACAGAACAGGUAUAGCACAGGGCAGCAGCACUGCUGGCUUCCCCACCCUGCCCUUCCAACCACUGUCUUUUCUGCUGGGCAAGAAUCACCUCCAAGAAGGAAUGGGUGGUUCAGCCUCAGCUCCAUUCAGUGUUGGGAUUUC